CUGCAGCUGAGAGUCUUCCUGCAGAGCGCGGGUUCCCAGAGCCUGGGGGCUCACACACGGUCUCCGGUCUCCGCCUCUGCCUGGAGGGGCAGCGGGUGGGGUGAGUGUGCUGAAAGCGCAGGCCCACCUCGAGGCCAAGGCCGGCUGCUGUGAGACCCAGGCCUGCUGGGCGCGUCUGAGCCCACCUGCAGGAAGAACAGCAGCUCCUCCUCCCACAGUCUCCUCCUGACGUCCUGGUGUGCAGAGGGUCCAGGUGCCACACCUCUGCUCACUGGGCAAGGCUUUGCUGGGUUCGGCUCACUGGUGUGACUUCUGUCAGGGAAGUCCCUCUUCUUGGUGACCUGUCUCUGAGGAACGCUGCUCCUCAGCCAAGGCCACGAGGCCCACGCUGGGCACUGCCGCAAGACGUCCACCAUGAGCAACCUCCACUCCUCCUUUCCUUGCGGGGACUUCGGCAACUGAGUGCGGACACACCGGAGCCCUCCAUCUGCCCAGCACGAGGGGGCACUGCGAAUGUAGGUCUCCCUGGAGAGCAGGUGGCCGUCCCUGUCACCAGUGCACCAGCUGUGAGACCACCUAAGUGUCGGUGGGCCCAGGGGACCCUGAGCUGGUGGCCGCGGGCAGGGAGGCCGACACUGGGGACCAGGGGGGCACUGCAGAGAUGCCAGGGAGGGCAGGAUGGAGAGGGCCGGGGAGACCAAGGGGUGAGGCCCAGGCCGCAGGGACCUCUGCAGAGGGCUUGGGCGUGAUUGGCCCUGGACCACCAUCACGUGGCAUCUCCAGGGGCCAGGAUGGGUGGUGAGGGUACCGCACCCCUGGACUAGCUGGUUCUCACAGCACUGUCUGUGGGCCCCUGGGCCCUGCAGAGGCCUCCUGGGACCUGAAGAUGACAUCACCCUCCAGUACACUGGGACGGGGCGCGCCCUUCCAUCCCCUGGGGUUUGCUGGGGCCCAGAAGCCACGUGAUGGGAACUGGUGCUGACCAAGGCUGAGGCCCUGGCCCUCACACAGCACCUUCUCCUGGAAGCCUGCUCGCUCUUCCAGAGGACGGCCUCCGUGAGCGGGACUCCUCCCUCGAACCUGCUCUCAUCUUAUUGAAGCAGCUCAAAGUCACUGUGAGCACUCAGGGCAGGAGCCCACCUUCUCUCUAGGCGGAGGAGGUCGGAGCCCCGCGAGGCAGAGGGCUGGAGGGACAGGCAUUCGCACUGCCCGGGGAGGGGGGGCACGAAGGUAACAGGACACAGACGCAGAGAUCAGGCUGUUGCACAUCCUUCCCGAGGGUGGCUGGCCUCCCUUCACUUGUCACAUGGCUACACAAGGUCCCGGGUGGGGGGGGCCUGGGGUCACCAUCUGGAGGAUGCGGUGACGUGCCAUGCGGGCCUAUCCUGGGUCAGGAGAAUGCGUGUGCACAGGCCCUUCCAAUGCCCUCGGUGGCAACGUCACACAAGCUAGAAAUACAGGGGCUCCGAUGACCACCCUGAGCCAGGCCUUUCCCAGACUUCUUAGCUCCUGACCUGGGCAGCCAGGCCCUGCACCCUCAGCAGCACACCUCUGUCCUGGCUGGGCUUCUGGACCCUUUCUCCCUGUCACAUCCCCAGGGAAAAUCACCCAUUUCCCGGGGAAUCCUCAUUUAUUCUGAUACCUGUCAGUGUUGAAACACAGAUAUCCAGCACAGAACGUGCAAUCCAUGCGUUUUUGUUGAAUUUUAAUGUUAAUUGAAUAAAAUGCGGGUCAAAACCAAGCUAGGAACACAUAUUUAAUCGCCAUUGGGAUGACUCACUGUCUUCUCGUAGCUUGAUUUGGAUAGAACACUCAGUCCUAUUAGAUACUCAUGUCUAAGUGUAGAGAUGCAGCCGUGAGGCCGGCAAAGACAUCAUGUGUUCCCUCGCUGCCGCGUGCUCUGCGGGUCACAGAAGCCGCAGAUGCAGGCUGGUCUUCCUUCUCAGGAUGCGCUGCUCUCCCGCGCACACCUCCCCCAGCAGGACAGCAGGGCUGACACUCGGGCAGCCUCUGUUCACUCUUGAUUUGCCAAGCUGUCCACCUGCAGGUGAUGGUCAGAACAGAGCACGGCUCACUGGUCAGUUCUCAGCCACCGAGAGUCAGCGGGGGUGUGUGGAGCCCAGGCCUGGCUGCAGCAGGAGGCAGAGCCAGGGG
rnacentral:lncRNA from 1 species